CAGUCGAGCGGAACGAGUUAUCUGAACCUUCGGGGGACGAUAACGGCGUCGAGCGGCGGACGGGUGAGUAAUGCCUAGGAAAUUGCCCUGGUGUGGGGGAUAACCAUUGGAAACGAUGGCUAAUACCGCAUAAUACCUACGGGUCAAAGAGGGGGACCUUCGGGCCUCUCGCGUCAGGAUAUGCCUAGGUGGGAUUAGCUAGUUGGUGAGGUAAUGGCUCACCAAGGCGACGAUCCCUAGCUGGUCUGAGAGGAUGAUCAGCCACACUGGAACUGAGACACGGUCCAGACUCCUACGGGAGGCAGCAGUGGGGAAUAUUGCACAAUGGGCGCAAGCCUGAUGCAGCCAUGCCGCGUGUGUGAAGAAGGCCUUCGGGUUGUAAAGCACUUUCAGUCGUGAGGAAGGUAGUGUAGUUAAUAGCUGCAUUAUUUGACGUUAGCGACAGAAGAAGCACCGGCUAACUCCGUGCCAGCAGCCGCGGUAAUACGGAGGGUGCGAGCGUUAAUCGGAAUUACUGGGCGUAAAGCGCAUGCAGGUGGUUUGUUAAGUCAGAUGUGAAAGCCCGGGGCUCAACCUCGGAAUAGCAUUUGAAACUGGCAGACUAGAGUACUGUAGAGGGGGGUAGAAUUUCAGGUGUAGCGGUGAAAUGCGUAGAGAUCUGAAGGAAUACCGGUGGCGAAGGCGGCCCCCUGGACAGAUACUGACACUCAGAUGCGAAAGCGUGGGGAGCAAACAGGAUUAGAUACCCUGGUAGUCCACGCCGUAAACGAUGUCUACUUGGAGGUUGUGGCCUUGAGCCGUGGCUUUCGGAGCUAACGCGUUAAGUAGACCGCCUGGGGAGUACGGUCGCAAGAUUAAAACUCAAAUGAAUUGACGGGGGCCCGCACAAGCGGUGGAGCAUGUGGUUUAAU
rnacentral:rRNA from 1 species